rnacentral:pre_miRNA from 2 species
CAUGUACUCAUUCCGUCCGAAAAUACUUGUCCUAGAAAUAGAUGUAAUUAGACUCAAUUUAGUUAUAGAUACAUUCAUUUUAUACAUUUCUAGGACAAGUAUUUCCGGACGAAGGAGGAAGUAAUAA